rnacentral:rRNA from 1 species
GAUGAACGCUGGCGGCGUGCUUAACACAUGCAAGUCGAACGGAAAGGCUCCUGCUUGCAGGGGUACUCGAGUGGCGAACGGGUGAGUAACACGUGGUGAUCUGCCCUGCACUUCGGGAUAAGCCUGGGAAACUGGGUCUAAUACCGGAUAGGACCACAUUUUGGAUGGUGUGGUGGAAAGUUUUUCGGUGUGGGAUGAGCUCGCGGCCUAUCAGCUUGUUGGUGGGGUAAUGGCCUACCAAGGCGUCGACGGGUAGCCGGCCUGAGAGGGUGUACGGCCACAUUGGGACUGAGAUACGGCCCAGACUCCUACGGGAGGCAGCAGUGGGGAAUAUUGCACAAUGGGCGCAAGCCUGAUGCAGCGACGCCGCGUGGGGGAUGACGGCCUUCGGGUUGUAAACUCCUUUCGCUAGGGACGAAGCGUUUUUGUGACGGUACCUGGAGAAGAAGCACCGGCUAACUACGUG